UACGAAGGGGGCUAGCGUUGUUCGGAAUCACUGGGCGUAAAGGGCGCGUAGGCGGCUUUAUAAGUCGGGGGUGAAAACCUGUGGCUCAACCGCAGAAUUGCCUUCGAUACUGUAGAGCUUGAGACCGGAAGAGGUAAGUGGAACUGCGAGUGUAGAGGUGAAAUUCGUAGAUAUUCGCAAGAACACCAGUGGCGAAGGCGGCUUACUGGUCCGGUUCUGACGCUGAGGCGCGAAAGCGUGGGGAGCAAACAGG
rnacentral:rRNA from 1 species